rnacentral:rRNA from 1 species
UUGUAACGGCUGGCGGCGACUGCCUUACACGAUGGCAAGUCGAACGGUAACAGGGAGCUUGCUCCGCUGACGAGUGGCGAACGGGUGAGUAAUGUAUCGGAACGUACCAUUCAGUGGGGGAUAACGUAGCGAAAGUUACGCUAAUACCGCAUAUUCUGUGAGCCAGGAAAGCAGGGGAUACGCAAGACCUUGCGCUGAUUGAGCGGCCGAUAUCAGAUUAGCUAGUUGGUGAGGUAAAGGCUCACCAAGGCGACGAUCUGUAGCGGGUCUGAGAGGAUGAUCCGCCACACUGGAACUGAGACACGGUCCAGACUCCUACGGGAGGCAGCAGUGGGGAAUUUUGGACAAUGGGGGCAACCCUGAUCCAGCCAUGCCGCGUGAGUGAAGAAGGCCUUCGGGUUGUAAAGCUCUUUCGGCCGGGAAAAAGUCGCAUCAGUUAAUACCUGGUGUGGAUGAUGGUACCGGAAUAAGAAGCACCGGCUAACUACGUG